GCACUGGAAAAGCGUCAGAGCUCCCUCGCAGGGAGCUUGGGGCCUGUCACGGGGCCAGGACAAGGGCAGGCAGCAGGGCCAGAGAUGACCAAGAGGUGGGGAAUGGGAACAAGCCACUAGUUAUCUAGCAAUGUGGAAGUCACUGCUGAGCAGCGUAGACGAGCCAAAAGGGCUGGGGGAGGAGACAGGGAUGGCGUCGCCUUUUUCAGCAGGCUGAAGCUCCCUGGGGUCACAACUGGCUGCUCAUCUUGCUAUCCCCAGGCUCAGUGGACAUGCAGGGCAGGCCCAGUGCAAGGCCUCCCUUGGAAGCUCAGGACAAUCUACAAAUGGCCCUAUCAUCAGAAAUCUGUCCAACCUGGCAGCUACAGACAGUGUCUUCAUCUCAGGGCCAGCAGCCGGCUAUCCAGGCCCACCAGGAAGAAGUGGGGAUUGGCCAUGCAGAUUCUCCAAGACCCUGGCCAGAGGAUGUGGGGUUGUCCUAAUUCUUAUCCCAAUGUUUGAGCCUUAUCCCACACCCCUGGAAAGUUGGGUUUUUACCUCUUAUUUUAUAGCUGAAAAAAUUGAAGCCCAGAGAUUGAAGCUGCAAUCCUGAGGUCACACAGUAAGUACAGACCAUGUAGGAAUCAAACUCAUGUGUUCCAAACUAAAGCUGGUGCCCUUAAGUGUAAACUACACUGGCUGAAGAUGCUCACCUUUCAUCUUGCUUAAUAUCCUGCAUUGUCAUUUUCUUUGAUAUCUGUCCGUAUGUCUGUCUCCCACUUAUCUGAGGAUCUCAGAGGACAGGGAUCAGGUGAGCUUCAUCAUUGAUUCUUGGGUCCCAGGACCAGGCCUCGUAUAGAGGAGAUGGCUGGCUGGCUGGCUGGCUGGCUGGCUAAACUCUAGGUCAGAAUUUGGAAGGAACUACAUGAGAAAAUCAACAAUGCUCCCAAUACGGUAAAGGUCUUAGAAAGCGGCU
rnacentral:lncRNA from 1 species